CACGUAGGGUGCAAGCGUUGUCCGGAAUUAUUGGGCGUAAAGGGCUCGUAGGCGGUCCGUCACGUCGGGAGUGAAAACUCGGGGCUCAACCCCGAGCCUGCUUUCGAUACGGGCGGACUAGAGGUAGGUAGGGGAGAACGGAAUUCCUGGUGUAGCGGUGGAAUGCGCAGAUAUCAGGAGGAACACCGGUGGCGAAGGCGGUCUCUGGGCCUUACCUGACGCUGAGGAGCGAAAGCGUGGGGAGCGAACAGG
rnacentral:rRNA from 1 species